UACAGAGGUCCCAAGCGUUGUUCGGAUUCAUUGGGCGUAAAGGGUGCGUAGGUGGCAUGGUAAGUCGGGUGUGAAAUCCCGGGGCUCAACCCCGGAACUGCACUCGAUACUGCCGUGCUCGAGUACUGGAGAGGAGACUGGAAUUUACGAUGUAGCAGUGAAAUGCGUAAAUAUCGUAAGGAAGACCGGUGGCGAAGGCUAGUCUCUGGACAGUUACUGACACUGAGGCACGAAGGCCAGGGGAGCAAACGGG
rnacentral:rRNA from 1 species